rnacentral:rRNA from 1 species
UGCAGUCGACGAUGNACCACUUCGGUGGGGAUUAGUGGCGAACGGGUGAGUAACACGUGGGCAAUCUGCCCUGCACUCUGGGACAAGCCCUGGAAACGGGGUCUAAUACCGGAUACUGAUCCUCGCAGGCAUCUGCGAGGUUCGAAAGCUCCGGCGGUGCAGGAUGAGCCCGCGGCCUAUCAGCUAGUUGGUGAGGUAACGGCUCACCAAGGCGACGACGGGUAGCCGGCCUGAGAGGGCGACCGGCCACACUGGGACUGAGACACGGCCCAGACUCCUACGGGAGGCAGCAGUGGGGAAUAUUGCACAAUGGGCGAAAGCCUGAUGCAGCGACGCCGCGUGAGGGAUGACGGCCUUCGGGUUGUAAACCUCUUUCAGCAGGGAAGAAGCGAAAGUGACGGUACCUGCAGAAGAAGCGCCGGCUAACUACGUGCCAGCAGCCGCGGUAAUACGUAGGGCGCAAGCGUUGUCCGGAAUUAUUGGGCGUAAAGAGCUCGUAGGCGGCUUGUCACGUCGGUUGUGAAAGCCCGGGGCUUAACCCCGGGUCUGCAGUCGAUACGGGCAGGCUAGAGUUCGGUAGGGGAGAUCGGAAUUCCUGGUGUAGCGGUNAA